ACUCAAAGGAAUUGACGGGGGCCCGCACAAGCAGUGGAGCAUGUGGUUUAAUUCGAUGCAACGCGAAGAACCUUACCCAGGCUUGACAUGCAGAGGGCGAUACCAGAGAUGGUAUUUUCCGCAAGGACCUCUGCACAGGUGCUGCAUGGCUGUCGUCAGCUCGUGCCGUGAGGUGUUGGGUUAAGUCCCGCAACGAGCGCAACCCUUGUCAUUAGUUGCCAGCACGUAGAGGUGGGAAUUCUAAUGAGACUGCCUAGGUUAACUAGGAGGAAGGUGAGGAUGACGUCAAGUCCGCAUGGCCCUUAUGUCUGGGGCUACACACGUGCUACAAUGGUCGGUACAGCAGGCGGCGAAGCCGCAAGGUGGAGCAAAUCCUAUAAAGCCGACCCCAGUUCAGAUUGUUGUCUGCAACUCGACAACAUGAAGCCGGAAUUGCUAGUAAUGGCGUGUCAGCUACAACGCCGUGAAUACGUUCUCGGGCCUUGUACACACCGCCCGU
rnacentral:rRNA from 1 species